UUCACGGCUUGGAGCAGAGGAGUUACCUGCCGCAUUCUUGGUUAUAAAAUGCCUUCCUGCUUCUCUGAAUUCCUCUCCGUGAUUUCCACAUGACAAUGAAAUUUCCAACGUUAAAUUAUCCAGUACUGUGGCUGUAUGAUCUCAAACACCUGCCGGUUUUCACUCCAAAGGUAACUGCAUUUCUGCAGUGGGUGAAUCACUUCCUAGAGAUGUGAGGUGUAUGGUAAAUCGCUUAGGAUCCUUGGAGAUGACAUAUGCAUAAGAUACUGCUGUUAAUGCACUACCACAGCUCAGAUAAUAAUUAUGUGAAGCAAAGCUCUCAAAAAGGAAAAUCUCUGUUUUGUUUUCCUGUUUGUUUUGGGGGUUUUGUCAUCUGCUCUCUAUCUCCCUCACCCUUUCACAGCAAAAACACAAGUUGAGCACCUCUGCAGAGUUAGACAUAUAGCUUCACCUUCAAACUGAAAAUUGGAAGUGUUUUUCCCUCCAAACAGCCCCUUCAAAAGCUUUUGAGCUUGAGGUCUCUUCCCUCAAAGAGGUUUCAGUGGGAGAAGUGACACUAAAACCCUUCCCCUCAUUGACAGUAAUUACAUCCUUUCACCUGCUUCUCCUCACUUACCUGGGCUCGUGGUGAAAACUCACUGCGACCACUCUAAGGAAAUUCUGUUAUGUGCUGACAUUUACCAGGUGACAACGAGGUCGGGUCAGGUGUUUGAUACCCCAGCCUUUGCAGGUAAUUAUCAGGUAGUGUUACAGGUAACUGAGGCUCAGCACAUUUCAAGGGGUUAUGAUGAAGCAGCUCUCUUACUUGUCUAAGCUUUUUCUCAAUAACAUUUUUAAAGGGGCAAGUGCAAUUUUAAUCCUAAUCCCAUGCUUCUCAUGGUCAAAUUUAGGGGUUAUUUCUUUUGCAAUUUAAAAAACCCACAUGAAGAUAAAUGAGUGGGUUUGUGAGCCCAGGAAGGUGAUACUCUGUAAUAUCUCUGAGUGGGAAAAAUAUUCUGUGAGGUUUUGAUAUUUGCCACCAGAUUUCUUCUCUGAUGUUAGCAGAUCAAUCCCCAUUCUCCAAAUCUUCUUAAAACCUCAAACGAGUGCUGCUUUCAACUCUUGAAAGAAAAAGCUACCCACUCUCUGUUUUUUCUUCUAUGUCCAGAAAAUAGUCCAACAGAAGCUUCUUAAAUCAACGAGAAGCUUCACUUGGGAUUAGAGUAUCAGCCUGUGGAUCUGACCAGACUGGAGUUAAAUUACAUUUCAAAACAACAUUUUAAAUACUACAAUCACCAUUUCUGAGUCUGUUCGCAUGGAUUCGAGGAAAGAAGAAGAAGAAGAAGGAAAAAAAAAAAAAAAGAGAGAAAAACUUUCGAAAUCAUGCUGGAAGCUUUGAAAGCGAUCCCGCAGGCAGGCUUUGCUGCCGUGCUUUGCAUUUGCCGGCCGGGUGCUGGGUGCCGAAACCAGAGGCUCACUGACACCCAGCGGCUGCCGCGGAGAGCGCAGCGCUCGCCCCGACGCCCCGGUGAUGGGCACGGCAAAAGUUUCUGCUGGCCUUCGGCAGGGCCCUCUGCUUUUGGUUGACCUGCCCUGGGUGCUUGAGAAGCAACGAGAGCUUGCUGCCUAAAGUCU